GGUUUACGUCUCCCCACACACACUGUAGAUGUAGCUGGCAGUGUCCUCCGUACUGUUGGAGCAAUUUGUCAAGCCCUUUAAAAUCCUGUAACAUUAGGCGCUGACUCCUUAUCACAUCGAUCCGACAAGCAGCCACUACAGGGAUGAACAUUCUCUUCACCAGUCUGUGGACUGUUCUUUUGCUGGGUCGCAUGGUCAGGUCACAACAGCUGCAAAGAAGGGAUAUUUUGAAUUAUCUGCUGAACAGCUCAGCGUAUGACGCUCGAAUUGCACCUGACUACGAAAAAGAUGUUGCUACAGAAGUUGAUGUCCAGCUUUUUGUUACAAGUAUCGACUCCAUUAAUGCUAUAUCCAUGGAUUACUCAAUGAACGUUUUUUUGCGACAGACAUGGAGAGACUCUCGCCUCAACUUCUCUCAUAUCAGCAACAUCAGUGUCCUAGAACUGGAUCAGAGACGUAUCGAUGACGUGUGGGUCCCAGACACCUACUUCCAGAAUGAGAAGAGUGCCAGCGUCCACACCGUCACAGUCCCAAACAAACUUCUCCACAUCUACAACGACGGUUUCGUUAUCUACAGCAUCAGAUUAUCAUUAACUCUGUCUUGUAUAAUGGAUUUACGAUUUUUUCCAAUGGACGACCAGACCUGUUCUAUUUUUAUGGAAAGCUAUGGUUACUCUAUAGAAAAUGUUGCUUUGAAGUGGAAUCCCGAUGACCCGGUUAUCUUUGGGCUUGACGAUAACGACGAACAAACCUACCGCAGUUCUAUUUCUACAAACCUUUGGAAACCAAGGGCUGCUCUACAGUCAACUCUUUUAAUACGGAGUUUUCCUGUCUCGAAGCCAAACUGUUUUUUCAAAGAAAUUUGGGAUUCUACAUGUCACAAGUGUUUAUUCCAAGCAUGAUGAUUGUCAUCCUUUCCUGGAUCUCGUUUUGGAUUCACGUGGAUGCUGUUCCCGCAAGAGUUUCGCUCGGAGUCAUUUGUGUGCUCACCAUGACAACGCAGAGUUCCGGUAUACGGUCCUCUCUUCCGGUUGUGUCUUAUAUUAAGGCCAUCGAUAUUUGGAUGGCUGUUGGACUUUUGUUUGUGUUUGCCGCUUUACUUGAAUAUGCUUAUAUAAACGUACAAACACGAAAACAUCGAAAACAAACAAAGGACAAUGAGAAAGAUAAGAAGAGCAUGCAGAUCAUGGAACCCCAAACGAAGACAGAUUUCAUGGACCGAGCUCGACGUGUUGAUAGAUUGUCCAGAGUUGUCUUCCCUAUCUGCUAUGCUGUCUUCAAUCUUGUUUUUUGGGUUGUUUAUCUUUCAAAAUAAUUGAUUUUAGUUUUCCCAGUGAAACGGUAUCAAUGUGUUUCUUUUAUUGCUUGAUAUUUCUUACUGGAUUACAUAUACUAUGUUGACUGUUAAUGUCAUUAUUAACAUUUCACACUUAUCGAUAUCAGUUUCAGCAUAUCUUUCAUUGUAAACUUUGAAUAAUGCGCACGUGAUUGUGUUAAGUUGGUCAUUUAGGCUUUCUGUGGAGAUAAAAUGUAUCUUUGGUUUCUUUAUAAAUCUAAUUUUGGCUCAC
rnacentral:misc_RNA from 1 species